UGGGGAAUAUUGGACAAUGGGCGCAAGCCUGAUCCAGCCAUGCCGCGUGUGUGAAGAAGGCCUUUUGGUUGUAAAGCACUUUAAGCGAGGAGGAGGCUACUUGGAUUAAAACUCUAGGAUAGUGGACGUUACUCGCAGAAUAAGCACCGGCUAACUCUGUGCCAGCAGCCGCGGUAAUACAGAGGGUGCGAGCGUUAAUCGGAUUUACUGGGCGUAAAGCGUGCGUAGGCGGCUUCUUAAGUCGGAUGUGAAAUCCCUGAGCUUAACUUAGGAAUUGCAUUCGAUACUGGGAAGCUAGAGUAUGGGAGAGGAUGGUAGAAUUCCAGGUGUAGCGGUGAAAUGCGUAGAGAUCUGGAGGAAUACCGAUGGCGAAGGCAGCCAUCUGGCCUAAUACUGACGCUGAGGUACGAAAGCAUGGGGAGCAAACAGG
rnacentral:rRNA from 1 species